GACGAACGCUGGCGGCGUGCUUAACACAUGCAAGUCGAACGGAAAGGCCCUUCGGGGUACUCGAGUGGCGAACGGGUGAGUAACACGUGGGUGAUCUGCCCUGCACUUUGGGAUAAGCCUGGGAAACUGGGUCUAAUACCGAAUAGGACCACGCGCUUCAUGGUGUGUGGUGGAAAGCUUUUGCGGUGUGGGAUGGGCCCGCGGCCUAUGAGCUUGUUGGUGGGGUAAUGGCCUACCAAGGCGACGACGGGUAGCCGGCCUGAGAGGGUGACCGGCCACACUGGGACUGAGAUACGGCCCAGACUCCUACGGGAGGCAGCAGUGGGGAAUAUUGCACAAUGGGCGCAAGCCUGAUGCAGCGACGCCGCGUGAGGGAUGACGGCCUUCGGGUUGUAAACCUCUUUCACCAGGGACGAAGCGUAAGUGACGGUACCUGGAGAAGAAGCACCGGCCAACUACGUG
rnacentral:rRNA from 1 species